rnacentral:pre_miRNA from 8 species
GGUGGAGUUUCAGAUAUGUUACAGACUAUGUGAUAUGUUUGAUAUUCGGUUGCUUUCUUUAUAUCAUGUCAACUAAAUAUCAGACAUAUUCCUAUAGACUGUGACACAAAUCUUCACAUCUGU